UUUUAUUUUUAUCAAUAUGAUUCAUAUGUGCAAUGCACUUUACACAAACCAUACAAGUUCUCAAAGUACAAGUAAGUUUUAAAUACAAACAUAACAAAAAAAUUAAAAUUUUAUUUAUUCUACUUAUUUUGAUGAUGGAAUUGGGUGGGUUCGAUUCCGUGGAGAACUCGUGAAUCCCAACCAAAAACCAUUUGAGCAAAUUAGGUCCAGUACCCUAAAAAAUUAACUUAAUUGAUUAAUACCAUGUUAAUCAAUUAAAUCAUUUCAUAACGUAAUUAAUACGGUAUAAAACUUCUCAAAAACUCAAACCCUUAAACAGAUGCAUACACAGAAACCCCAAACAAAAAUCCCAUCACUGAUCUUUCUGCAGCAGUAUUGUUUCCAUCUCUUAUUAAGCUAUCUCCUUCAGCUCCUUCAGUUUACCUGUGUUAACAUCUCUUUUGUCAUCCCACAGUCACGUGUUUCCUCCAAAGUCAACCCCUUCCAGAUGGAGUUCCGUUCUCCUAUUCUCAAUUUCUGAAAAAGCAUCUUCUUUUGUUCUCCCUACUUGGGGCUACGAAUCAACAAGAGGAUUGAAUGGUGGGUCAUCUGAUGAUUUGUCAAUUCCUCCAUUCUCUGAGCUCAUGAUGACUCGGAAAGAUAGAUGGUCUUUCGAUGGUGAAAACUUUGGCUUCAGUUGGGACAAAAUAACCAGAUUUGUUGGACGAAAUUUAGGGUCUCCUUUUAAUCUCCAAAGUUGUGUUUGUGCAAAGCUUUUAACUGAGAGAUCCUCGUUGGACAUCCAGAAAGUAAUAGCUACCAAUGAACUUGGUGUGGUUGCUGUUUUGACUUGUGGACAUGCUUACAUGCUGAAUGCUUGGAAUAAUGACACAUGAGAUGAAAAAAUACGACCCGACUUGCUCUGUCAAUACUUCUGGGGAGAAGCGGACCAUGAAGAUGAUUGAAAAGGCAAUCAAAGCUGUAUUGGAUUCAAAGGCCAGAAAGCGAUCUAGGAACCGUGUUGUUGACAGUGAUGAUCUCAUUUUGUUCGAUCAUCAUAAAUGCGGUUAGAAUGAAGGAAGCGGUCCCAAAAUGAGAUUCUUCCAUAUGUUGAUCAUUAUCUAAAAUUUUCCUAUACUUUUCUCUACAGAUUCUUCCACAGUUUCAUCUUUCUCUGUUGCCAUGUUUUGAGGGUUAACAUGAAGGGAGAUUUUUAUAAAUGACCUGCUACUAUUCAUUUUUGGUAAAAUGUCUAUAAUAUCCUUAAUGAAAGGAUUUGUUAUAUUUUACAUAAGAUAUCCUUAAUUUAUUGGGAUAGUUUUAAAUUCUUCUAUUUCUCUCAUUUCGAGUUUUAAUAUAUAAUUCCAUUCUUGGAUCUAAUAAAUUAGAAUAAUCUGUAAUAUAAUUGUCA
rnacentral:lncRNA from 1 species